AGCUUGUUAAUAGGAUGUUUCUUAUUAAAAUGUCUGAACCUAUGAACUCUCUAGUGAUUUCGGUGUAUUACUGAGGUAAGCU
rnacentral:snoRNA from 1 species